GACGAACGCUGGCGGCGUGCUUAACACAUGCAAGUCGAACGGUAAGGCCCUUCGGGGUACACGAGUGGCGAACGGGUGAGUAACACGUGGGUGAUCUGCCCUGCACUUCGGGAUAAGCCUGGGAAACUGGGUCUAAUACCGGAUAGGACCACUGCCUGCAUGGGUGGUGGUGGAAAGCUUUUGCGGUGUGGGAUGGGCCCGCGGCCUAUCAGCUUGUUGGUGGGGUGAUGGCCUACCAAGGCGACGACGGGUAGCCGGCCUGAGAGGGUGACCGGCCACACUGGGACUGAGAUAUGGCCCAGACUCCUACGGGAGGCAGCAGUGGGGAAUAUUGCACAAUGGGCGCAAGCCUGAUGCAGCGACGCCGCGUGAGGGAUGACGGCCUUCGGGUAGUAAACCUCUUUCAGCACCGACGAAGCGCAAGUGACGGUAGGUGCAGAAGAAGGACCGGCCAACUACGUGCCAGCCGCCGCUGUA
rnacentral:rRNA from 1 species